UACAGAGGUCUCAAGCGUUGUUCAGAUUCAUUGGGCGUAAAGGGUGCGUAGGUGGCGCCAUAAGUCAGGUGUGAAAUCUCGGGGCUCAACCCCGAAACUGCACUUGAUACUGUGGUGCUUGAGUACUGGAGAGGAGAUUGGAAUUUACGGUGUAGCAGUGAAAUGCGUAGAUAUCGUAAGGAAGACCAGUGGCGAAGGCGAAUCUCUGGACAGUUGCUGACACUGAGGCACGAAGGCCAGGGGAGCAAACGGG
rnacentral:rRNA from 1 species